AACAGGCACAGGAACAGGAACAGGAACAGACAGCCUUUCAUCCCAGAGAAAUUGUGGAUGACUCAUCACUGAAGUGUUCAGAUUGGAUGGGGCUUUGAGGAACCAGCUCUAGUGGAAGGUGUCCAGUGGUCUGAACUAGAUAAAUCAAUGUCUCUGCAGAGGCAUCAGGGAACCCACAAAGCAAACAACGCUAGAAGGCAGUUUUCAGUUUGGUGAAAGAGUAAGUUUUACAGCUCUAUGAAGAAUGAUAGAAAAUUCAAUUGCUACCCGAAGACUAGCAAGCUAAUAGCUGUGGCUUGUCAUCAAGCCCAUCAAUAAUAUCAGAUUUGGAAACAAGGAAGGACAAUGGUUCCUGGCUGAUGGAAGACACAUGCCUUAAAGAGCACAUCUUGCAAAAAAAAAAAAAAAAGUACUAGAGAAAAUAUCAU
rnacentral:lncRNA from 1 species